CCAGGCACUUCUGUAUGAAAUAAAGUCACACGUCUGCUCUGGUCACCCUGACAGCUCCUGUGACAGACAUUUCCAAAUCAACUUUCCAGAAGCCACAUCUUGAGUCAACUGGAGAAUGACACCUAAGUGGUUGAAGGGAAAGUGAGAAGACAAUUUGGCACAGAUUAUUGGUGGACAGUAAGCUGGUUUUAAGACGUUGAAAAUUCACUCGGAUGAUGGAAGAAAUGCAGUAUCAACAAACUUACCUUGACAUGUAACAUCAAGCCUGCUAUUAAAACUCUGGAGUGUUCAUCCUCA